rnacentral:ncRNA from 1 species
GAGCCGAACCACGGGAGCCCGCAGACGGGCUGAGAGGGUGCUGCCGCCGUAGAACGGCUCCGAGCGCCGACCGAGAGACCUGAUCCGGAUCAUGCCGGCGGAGGGAAGGUAGCGAAGCAUGCAU